UAGGGAAUAUUGCACAAUGGGGGAAACCCUGAUGCAGCGACGCCGCGUGAACGAAGAAGGUAUUCGUAUCGUAAAGUUCUGUCCUAUGGGAAGAUAAUGACAGUACCAUAGAAGAAAGCUCCGGCUAAAUACGUGCCAGCAGCCGCGGUAAUACGUAUGGAGCGAGCGUUGUCCGGAAUUAUUGGGCGUAAAGGGUACGCAGGCGGUUUAAUAAGUCGAAUGUUAAAGAUCGGGGCUCAACCCCGUAAAGCAUUGGAAACUGAUAAACUUGAGUAGUGGAGAGGAAAGUGGAAUUCCUAGUGUAGUGGUGAAAUACGUAGAUAUUAGGAGGAAUACCAGUAGCGAAGGCGACUUUCUGGACACAAACUGACGCUGAGGUACGAAAGCGUGGGGAGCAAACAGG
rnacentral:rRNA from 2 species